rnacentral:lncRNA from 1 species
GAAUCGAACAGCGAAACAUCUGAUGACCCAACGUAGCCGUUUAAAAGCGCUCAUCUUGUAGGUACGAACGGUUCCGAAUGGUCCGCAAGUCUGAAAUUAAUAAACCGCUUGAGAUUGUUGUUCGUGGGCGUUGCUUCCCCCUUGUCAUUGGUGCACUGCGGCGACGGCGAAAGACCACCAACCGUCGUCGCCGUCGUUGGACACAAGAGAGAGAAGCGAGGGAGGACAAUAUAAUAAUCUAACGAGUUUUCUUUUUCUAUCUCCAUUCCUCUCCUCUCUCUUCAAUCUAAGUUCGGAUGAAAAAAACCAUCUCCAGGUUGCUUCCAUGUCCUUCUCCCUCUUCAAGAAUUCUAUAUUUGAUUGAUGUUUGAAUCUCUAGGGUUUUCGUUCUCUAGGGGUCUUAUACUUUUAUUCACUACGAGUGACUACUUGACACCAUUGCUGUUAGUUCUGUACGGUUUCUCUUGCAUCGCACCUUCUCUACGUUCAGCUCUUCUCAUGUUUUCUUGAAUGUCGUGACCCAUUUUAGGGUUUGGUCGUACGAUCUCUUGCUGACUGAUUAGGUUUAAUUUUAAUCGAAAUCUCAAUCACAUGUUUGCUUUCUAGUUUUCCCCUUGGAUUCAAGCUAAUUUGAAUUCACAGCUGAAAUAUCCACGCAUUGUUCGAUCUAAUUCCGAUUGGCAGAGCAAAGAUUUAGUGCUGGAAAGAUGGUCGGCGGUCCAUGGCUUCAGGCCUCCUCUUGUAAGUCUUUGAUUUCACCUUUUCAUAAUUCUCAAAAUUUUGUCCAUUAUCUUCCCACCAAACCUUCAAAGAAACUUUGUCAAGUAAAGGCAAGUUCUGGCCCUUC